GCCCUCGUAGAUCAGCGGUAGAUCGUCUUCGCUUCUUUCGAUAUCGAAUAUGAAAAGGUUGGAGGAAGGUGCGGGUUCGACUCCCGCCGAGGGCA